CCCAUCUCUUCAAUCACUAGAAUUAUAUGAUUGUCCAGAAAUUGAGUCUUUUCCGGAAGGUGGGCUUCCCUCCAGCUUACAUUCACUUGAAAUCCGAAAUUGCGGCAAACUUACUGCUCGCCGAAGAGAAUGGGAUUUGCAAAGGCUCCCUUCUCUUAGACACUUCAGAUUAGUAGGUGAAUAUUGGCGGCAGUUCUUUCCAGAAGAUGGGGUGGAGUCCUUUCCGGAGGAGGGGUUGUUGCCCUCGACUCUUAUGUCACUCAGCAUUGAAAAUCUACCAAAUCUCAAAUCGUUGAACAAUAGGGGCCUUCAACUCCUUGGCUCUCUCAAAUACAUGAAGAUUGAGAAAUGCCCUCAGCUCCAAUCCUUGCUCGAAGAGGGGCUUCCCACCUCUCUCUUUAUGCUGGAAUUCUUUGGCUGUCCAAUGCUAAAACCUCAUUACCUCAAGGGGAAAGGGCAGGACUGGCAUAAGAUUGCUUGUGUCCCUGUCAUACACAUGGAUGGUGAAGUGAUCUUUGAGCAGCUCACUCUUCGUCCAGCAAUGGAUUCUGCAUUUGACACACUGAUAGAGGAUUGGCAAAUCAUUCGGGAAUGUCUAAGAUGUUGAUGAUCUUUUACCAUGAUAUUGAAGUAAAUAUGUAACCUUCUUGGCUUCAACUUUCAACUUUUAUAGAUUGCGUUCAACUUGGGUUUCUACCAAGAAAUAUUGCAAAGUGGGUUGCUUCUUUAUCCGAUAGUGGCUUAUUCAGGUUUUCUGGAUAUGUUUAUCCAAAAGACGUCCUUUUGACUGCUUUAGAAGGAAGCAUCAACAUAGUGCAAAUGAUACUGUAUGUGUCACAAGUGUGAUGUUUAAGUCAUAUACAGGAUCCUUUCCUAUAGUGCAGACUGUGCUGCUUAUUUACUAUGAUAGUAUGAUUAUGCCAAGUUUUGGUAGUGUUAUCUUGUGCAGGGACCUGCCUUUUCAGAUAUAUCAAAAGCAGUGCAAUCUGAACAUGUUCCUUCAAUAUGUUUGUUAGUUGCAUCAAUUGAAUUCAGAGGUCUACAGGCCUAUGGCGACUUCAAGAGGUUUUAAGACAUUACAAAUGGCUAGAAUAUUUGGAAACUGAUUUUGUUUUCGGUAAGUGUUUUCUUGUAUAAUACUAGACUCUUCUAAAAAAAUUUGAAAUAUAUUUCUCAGUUUACUUACUUGUUCCAUUGUCAUGAUUCAUCACCAAUUGGGUCAGUCACUGCCUAGUUUUUAGUUGAAUUUUCAGCAACGUUUGUAAAGACAUCAGUGCAGUUCUUUGAGUUUGAGGAGUUCGAUCUAGAUGUUUUAAGUCGCUACAAAUGGCUAGAAUAUUUGGAAACUGAUUUUGUUUUCAGUUCAUCUUCAAUUGGGUCGGUCACUGCACAGUUUUUGGCUGUAUUUUUCAGCAGCAUCUGGAAAGACAUCAGUGCAGUUCUCUGAGUCUGAGGAGUCUGAUCCAGAUUGGGGCUGCUGGAGUACAAGUCAAGAGAUAAGAAACCCAUCCAUUAAAAUCAUUUUUCCCACAAUUGAAAGAAUGAAAAAUGCAAGUUGUGGAAUCUUAGCUUCAAAAUACCUUCUGUGUUUCUCGCAGGUUAAGAAACCUAGGCAUGCUUCAUGAUGCGAUUCCUUAUCCCAACGAUAAAGUUAAUCAUUCCACGCAUGUCAAGGUAAACACAUUCCCUCCUUAUUGUUUUGAAGUCUGUCUCUUCCAAGAUUCCUUUCUUUUUUUUUUUUUUUUUUUGUUUGAUUGGCAACAAAAGGACAUUUUAUUAAAAAAGAAAGAGUACAAAAAGAGGACAAGAUGUCCUCUACAAUAGAAGAGAAACCGUCAAUCACCAAAACUAAAAAACAAUUUAAUCAUCACAUAUCACUUUUCAAUCUCUACAAAUAAAAUAUAAUAAUAAUAAAAUGAAAUCCCCUUAAAAGGAGUCGAAAUGGAAGUCCAAAACAAUGCUAAAUGACAUACUCUAUCCCGUAUAGAUGCUGUAUCAUCAAAUUCGUCCUCGAAGAUCCUUGCAUUCAUUUCCAACCAAAUCACCCAAAAAUUGAGAAGACAACACAAUGACACAUCACUUUUGCUUUCAUCGUACCUCCAAAGUCCCAAAAAUCCAUUGAAACCAUUACUUUUACUAGACAAGAUCCUGGAGCCACCCAUUGGACAUCAACCAAACAAAAGAGAUGAUGCCAUAGAUCCAAGAAUAAGUGAUCCAAAGCCAUAUAUUAAGGUUAUUUUGUGAAGUUGAGUCAUUUUUCUAUUUCUUGUGGAUUCUCUGCUAUUCUGAACUGUUGUAUUCACAGAUGUGCACCUAGGGUGAAUGCAAUCUUAUUCACUUAUGAGAUGGAAAUGUUGGAAAAAUGGUUUAAUAUAGGCAUAUUUUUUAGCCCAAAUUUGAGUAGGCCCCAAACGUCUUUUGGGGUGGGUCCGAAGAGGUGAAGUGUUCCUUGUCGCGUGGCAAGUCAC